rnacentral:lncRNA from 1 species
GAUGGUACACACAGCUCUGAUAGAAACCACUGAGCCUGGCUCCUAUUCACUGUUGCCAUGUUGUCUCCAGUCCAAACACUAAUAGGGAAAAAUACCCUCAAAUCAGACACCAUAAUUAAAUUGUUUUGUUAUUGCAUUGUAUGGGUAGAUGAGAUUUACCUAAUCAAGAAAGCAUGUAAAUUAAUUUAAGUAGGCAUGAGUGACAGAGUCACCAAUUUUGAGGCACAGCAGAAAGUGCUUAUGCACUAUAUUCAUGCUAAUGUGCUUUCCAGCUUAGGAAUGUGCCUGGGGAGGAUGCUUGCUGCUACAUGAUUGAUUGAUUGAUUGAUUGAUGGGGUCCUAGAAACUGGACAGACCCAGCGGAUAUAAAGUUCAUCAUUGGAGACAAAUCCUGUUCCUCCGUCUUCCCACUAAGUUGAAUCAAGUCCUAUGACUCAAGAGGAGAACUUUCACUAUGCGUCUGCUUUAAAUAAGGAGACAUUAGGCUCUGGGAAUGCAUCUUGGAAGAAUGCCCCAAUGUUCAGCAGUAUUAUGCUUGGCAACUAGACACCAAACAACUUCAGAAUGUGGACCUCAACUGAGAAGACACAUAAGCAAACCCGAGGUGGGGAUGGAGGUGCAUAUAGUUAUUUGGAGGUAUCCCCAAGGAAUCAGAUUGGAGGGAGUAG